rnacentral:lncRNA from 1 species
ACAAAGAUUUGGUGUUUUGCAUUAAUGCUUCUCUUUCUCUUUCUGCCCUGUCCCUUUCUCUCCCUGUGCAGCUCCGAAAAGCAAAGUGCAGUGUUUGCACCUGGGAAGCAUGAAGUGUCCCAAGUGUUGCUUUGUUUCUCGAGAUGAUUCUGCCAGAUUUUGCAGCAGCUGUGGGGUCCAGCUGGCCACUGUUGCCGGUACAGGGCACAAGGACCCAGAAGGAGGAGAGGUGAAGUCAGCUCCAGUCCCUGAUAUGGGAGUGGAGCCUGGAGGAAAGCUGAAGAGAGGAGGUGCUGAUGGGCUGCCUUCCACCACUGAAACAGAGGAGGAGGAGGGAGCGUUGCUGCUGGAGAGCAUAAGAGCUCUGAGCGAUACCUUGGAGAUCACACCUGAAUGCACUACACAUGGGCCUCCUGUCACCAAACCAAAGGAGGAGGAGGGAGCAUCGCUGCUGGAGAGCAUGGGAGCUCUGGGUGAUACCUCAGAGACUGCACCUGAGUGCAUGACAGAUGUUUCCUCUGGAAAGUCCCGGCGGAAGGAAAAAAGGAAAGAAAAAAGAAAGAGGAGUAAAGCAAAGAUGAAUCCUUCUGACUCUGGGGAACAGAACUCUUUGCCUCCUCUAAGCACAACACCAGCUCAAACACCAGAAAUGAUUGAUACACACGUGGUUCCACAAAGCAGUGAAGUAGCCAAACCUCAUACUGAUUUACUUGGCGACGAUGGAGGUGCACGUGAAAGUGAUAGUGUCUUGGGUCACUUGGAAAAGGAGGCUCAAAGUCUGGAAAUGAUUGCAGAAGAUGGUCACAGCAUGAUGACCUCAUCAAAGCAGAGUAGCACUGGUGAUGUGGCUGCCCCAUCUACAAGCUCUGCAGCCCCAGAGGAGAAGGUGGGGUGUGGAAGUACUGCAGAGCAUGAAGAAACAGUCAGGAGUGAUGUGGAAGGGGACAGUGGUGCAUCUGACAUUGGCCAGCUUCCAGAAGCCAGGCCAGAUUCCCAGUCCUUGGGCAGCAGAGACAAACUAGCCUUGAAGGGAAACGGAGGAAGCAUCCCCUCUGGGUUUUCCCCUGAUAUAGAAGCACCUGAAAGUAAGCCCGUAAUGUCUUGCACUGCCCAUCAAAGUCAAGAUGUGGAGACUCCACCUGUGGUCAAAAACUCACAGGCCGGGAAGGGUGAACAGGAGAGCAGCCAGCAAAUGAGCUCUUUAACUUCCAAGGUAAAUGUGUGA